rnacentral:rRNA from 1 species
UACGGAGGAUGCGAGCGUUAUCCGGAUUUAUUGGGUUUAAAGGGUGCGCAGGCGGCGUGUCAAGCAAGCGGUAAAAUAGCGGGGCUCAACCCCGUCGAGCCGUUUGAACUGGCGCGCUUGAGUUCAGGCGAGGUAGGCGGAAUUCGUGGUGUAGCGGUGAAAUGCAUAGAUAUCACGAAGAACUCCGAUUGCGAAGGCAGCUUACCAGUCUGCGACUGACGCUCAGGCACGGAAAGUGUGGGUAUCGAACAGG